AUUGAACGCUGGCGGCAUGCUUUACACAUGCAAGUCGAACGGUAACAGGGUGCUUGCACCGCUGACGAGUGGCGAACGGGUGAGUAAUGCGCCGUAACGCACCGAGUAAUGGGGGAUAACGCAGCGAAAGCUGUGCUAAUACCGCAUACGCUCUGAGGAGGAAAGCGGGGGACCUUCGGGCCUCGCGAUAUUCGAGCGGCCGACGUCUGGUUAGCCAGUAGGUGAGGUAAGAGCUCACCGAGGCGACGAUCAUGAGCGGGCCUGAGAGGAUGAUCCGACACACUGGGACUGAGACACGGCGCAGACUCCUGCGGGAGGCAGCAGUGGGGAAUGUUGGACAAGGGGCGCAAGCCUGAUCCAGCCAUGCCGCGUGUCUGAAGAAGGCCUUCGGGUUGAAAAGGAGUUUUGUCAGGGAGGAAAUCCUUAGCGCUAAUACCGUUGAGGGAUGACAGUACCUGAAGAAUAAGCACCGGCUAACUACGUGCCAGCCGCCGCGGUAAUAC
rnacentral:rRNA from 1 species